UGCUUUACCUUGGGCCGUGGCAGGGAGCAGGAGGGAGCUGAAGCUGAGCUACCUGCAGCCAGCUGUGGCACCCAGCAGUCACUGACACUCUGGGAUCAUUUCCAAGAGGAGCCAGGAAUAAUCUCUUCCCUCGUCCUGCUUCUUUGCGAAUGACCCUGGACAGGCUGGGUUGGGCUCAGCACUGGCCUGCUUUCCUUUUGUGAUGCUGUGUGCAGCUUUCCACCACUGUGGCCUUGUAGGACUCUUUUCCAGAGAACAAGAAAGAAUUCAGCUUCAAUGAGUCCUUCUGUGUUUGUCUCAGCUUUGCAGAUGGAGAGUGACAGCAGAGUUGCUACAAGAUCAGUUUAGGUUCUGUGAUCUCCUGUCCACCCAGUGAUUAAUUGCCCACCAGGGAUGUGCUUUCUGAAGAGGCUCCUUUGGCGGCAGUUUCAGGUAGGGGAGAACUCAGAUUUCAGCUGGGAGUGUCCUGCUAUCCAGGGGGGAGUCAUGUCUCCCAGAUUUUUCUGCACAAAGGUAAAGCAACCACGGUCUCCAUCCACACAAAUGGCAGCAGGGCUCCAGGGGAUUGUCCAGCAGCACAUCAAACUUGCUUUUACACAUCACUUGUUUGCUCAUUGAGGUUAUGAAUUGUCCCAAACAGUUUUUCUUCAUGAAAGCCAUUCAGUUCUCUUUUCCAUGAGCACCUGGACCCUCCCAUUCCCCCAGGAACCAAACUGCCUCACAGUUUAGGGAGUUGCAAUGAAAGGUGUCAAAAUGCCCAGGUGCUGCCAUUGCUGCCAGCAAGCCUGUGCUGCUCCAAAACCACCACCUCAUGCUUCAAGGAGCUGUGGAAGAAAAAUUUGCUUUCAGCAGAAGGACUUCUAUUUGUGGAUCAUUAAAGGGAAUUUGUGACUUUAACAAACUGGGUAUUAACCAUGCUGCUGGCUGUUAAAAAAAGAUAUUAAAAUGAUUGCUUACUAUCAGUGGCAAAGCUGUUGAGAAAUAAGUUUUCUGUUACUAUGUCAGGAGGCACAAAUUGCUUAAUCACUUGUGUCAUUGAGUGACACUAACAUUAGUUAUAAAAGCUUAUCAGAUACUGCUGAUCAGAGCAGCUCCAGAGGAGACAGUAUUUCAAAACUCACAUCAAUUUCAUGCUCUAAGAAUAAAACUUCAAAAUGUUUUUUUUUUUUUUUUUCUAUUUAGUUGCCAGAGUAUAUUUUUAAAUUUUUAAAGUCCUGGGUUGAGUAGUUGACUCACUAGCAUACAAUUCAAACAAAUAAGAUAUCACUGAUGGAAAACUGAUGGAAAAGAAGAUUUGAACUAUUAUACAGAACAGAUAAGCCAUUAGCUUCUCCCAGGACCUAAUGAUGAGGUCUGCAGGAUCAUUCAGGCUACAGCCAUAAUUAAGACUCAUUCUGAGUCAUUCUGUUGCAGCAGAAAACAUUAGCAAAAAGGGAAUCUCUGGCAACCUCCAAGCAAGGGAGGACUAGGCUGAGACUGGUGUCUGACACAAGGAGCACUGAAAUAUUUUUGAAAUAUAAAGCUGUAAAAAAGAAUUGGCUUUUUAUUACUAUUUUAUUUAACAAGCUACUGUUUGGAAGCAUAAUCACUCACACCUGAAUAAAGACUUGAACAUGUUUUUCCACCUUCUGUCACCUGUGGGAAGGCCAUUAUUCAGUUAUGCUAAAUGUGUUAUGUUAUUCCAUUUAUUCCAUGCUCAAAUUACUCAGCUGUUUCAACCACACUCUUUUAUCCUGUUGCUUUAUUUAGUUGAUAUAUGUCAUCUCUGUAUUUGACUUCCUCUUGAGGAAGACACUGACAGCUGCAUUUUUGCAUUGGUUUCUUU